rnacentral:lncRNA from 1 species
AGUAAAACUUGUUUUAAAGUUGUAGCUUUGGAAAGCAGAACUAUUUAUACAACACACUCACCACACUGUUGGACACAGAGUUAAACAUUUUCAGUGAAACAUCUGCCGACUCCUCCGGUACAUCCCCGUUCAUUCAGCCAGAUGUUUUUAUUCCACAGCAGCAGCAGCAGCAGCAGCAGACUGGGAGCCUGGUGUUAUUAGUCCACUGUACUCCAGCUUGUCAGCCCUUACUCUCCUGAAGACUUUGUUUACUCACCACAGAGCUACAACUCCGGUCUUAAAGCAGCUCAGUCACCUCCCACUGCUGGCUGACCCGCCCUGCUGCAUCAAUGAAAUGGCAGGACUUUAUUUGUCAGUCCCCGGACCCCAGUUUGAAAGCCGCUUCUGUAACUGACCACCAACCAACCAGACUAUAAGGUAAUUACUGUGCGUAUGUACACGUACACGUACACGUGAGUUUGUUUGUCCGUCUCUGUUCCCCCCAUCAUCUCCAGCUCCCCUUUCAUCUCAGCUACAGUACCCCAUCACCAGGACAACCAAAAUAAACAGCGGGAUUCUGGGUACUGUAUUGACGUGACAACAAAGGAUAAGUGGGCGUGGCCCAGCAGAACCAGAGGAGUGCCACAUCUGGGUUUCAUUAGCAUUGCAGGCCAAUGACAGAUGACUUGUGUUCUGCGUGGCGACACAACGUCAGGCUGGAUGGCGGCCUUCUCUGACAGAGGGGGAAAUGACAUCAUCAUGGGGAACUGAUGUUUCCUGGGCUUCGGGGAGCCAUUUCUGGACCUGGAGGGAUUCAAUUUAGUUGAAUUUUAUUCCGACUGCCAUUAACCGAUACAGUAGUGACAGUGGUCCUGUGGUCCAAGACGAUCUUAGUGAGGUCAUUAAGGUGCCAACUGUCCACACACCGCUGGCUGCCAUAACAACGUGUUAUCUAUCUCUCUCUUCUUCUUCCUUAUCAGUAUUCAUCCUUUGUUAGAGAAUCCUGCUGCCUGGGUCAGUGACAGUGCUCAGCCAUAGAAUGACAAUAGCUUGGACUCAAUUCCUUUAUCUUCAUGGGCUUUCUGUAAAGCGUUUUAAUUUGAUAUUUAUAAUUUAAUCCACGCUUUUGGCAUGCAUAAAAAUAACAAAUAUAAGCAAGGAGUUCCGUCUGACAACUUCAAAUUAGCUCGUACACAGUGGUUCCUGGUUUAUUAAACUCACUCUGUGCAUUUCAUGUGCCUAAGACAUGAUGAUUAUGUUAUAAAAUGAAUCUUAAUAAAAU